rnacentral:rRNA from 1 species
CAGUAGCCACGGUAAUACAGAGGGUGCAAGCGUUAAUCGGAAUUACUGGGCGUAAAGCGCGCGUAGGUGGUUUGUUAAGUUGGAUGUGAAAUCCCCGGGCUCAACCUGGGAACUGCAUUUGAAACUGGCAGGCUAGAGUCUUGUAGAGGGGGGUAGAAUUCCAGGUGUAGCGGUGAAAUGCGUAGAGAUCUGGAGGAAUACCGGUGGCGAAGGCGGCCCCCUGGACAAAGACUGACGCUCAGAUGCGAAAGCGUGGGGAGCAAACAGGAUUAGAUACCCGUGUAGUCCCUGUCUCUUAUAC